rnacentral:lncRNA from 1 species
GUCGAGACUCCUCUACCCUGUGCAAAGGUGUAUGAAUUUCGACCCCAGAGCUCUGGUCUCUGUGCUUUCAUGUUGCUGCUUUAUUUCGACCCCAGAGCUCUGGUCUGUGUGCUUUCAUGUCGCUGCUUUAUUAAAUCUUGCCUUCUACAUUUUAUGUAUGGUCUCAGUGUCUUCUUGGGUACGCGGCUGUCCCGGGACUUAAGUGUCUGAGGGAGGGUCUCCCUUCGGGGGUCUUUCAUUUGGUGCAUUGGCCGGGAAACAGCGCGACCACCCAGAGGUCCUAGACCCACUUAGAGGUAAGAUUCUUUGUUCUGUUUUGGUCUGAUGUCUGUGUUCUGAUGUCUGUGUUCUGUUUCUAAGUCUGGUGCGAUCGCAGUUUCAGUUUUGCGGACGCUCAGUGAGACCGCGCUCCGAGAGGGAGUGCGGGGUGGAUAAGGAUAGACGUGUCCAGGUGUCCACCGUCCGUUCACCCUGGGAGACGUCCCAGGAGGAACAGGGGAGGAUCAGGGACGCCUGGUGGACCCCUUUGAAGGCCAAGAGACCAUUUGGGGUUGCGAGAUCGUGGGUUAGAGUCCCACCUCGUGCCCAGUUGCGAGAUCGUGGGUUCGAGUCCCACCUCGCGUUUUGUUGCGAGAUCGUGGGUUUGAGUCCCACCUCGCACCUUGUUGCGAGACCGUGGGUUCGAGUCCCACCUCGCGUCUGGUCACGGGAUCGUGGGUUCGAGUCCCACCUCGUGCAGAGGGUCUCAAUCGGCCGGCCUUGGAGAGGCCAUCUGAUUCUUCUGGUUUCUUUUUUGUCUUAGUCUCGUGUCCGCUCUUGUUGUGACUACUGUUUUUCUAGAAAUGGGACAAUCUGUGUUCACUCCCCUUUCUCUGACUCUGGAGCAUUGGAAGGAGGUGCGGGUCAGAGCCCACAACCAGUCGGUGGAGGUCAGAAAGGGUCAGUGGCAGACCUUUUGUGCCUCCGAGUGGCCAACGUUUGGAGUAGGCUGGCCACCUAAGGGUGCUUUUGACUUGUCACUAAUCGCCGCCGUCAGGCAAAUUGUUUUUCAGGAGGAAGGGAGUCGAUGUGGAAUCCGACCCCGUCAGGAAAUAGCGUUUGGCUUGGCUGGUUGUACAAGUCCAGGCGUGGACGAGUGUGCUUAGAAAUACUGGUGUCUUCUUUUUCUCUGUUGCUAUCUUGUUUUUGUUUGUGGUUUUUGUCAUGAGACACAGACACUGUACGUCAGAGGUAAAGUGAGAUCCCUCCCUGUCUGUAUGUCUGUGUGUCUGUGUGUCUUGUUCACUUGUGUGUCCUCCAUUGGACCACCUUCUGAUUCUGUUUUGUUUUUGAUUUGUCUGGUUUCAGGUCUGGUUUUGGUCCCAAGGAGUUGACUGAUUAUCUUGGUUUGGUUUUAGGCCGGUCUCAGGUUCUGGGGCCUUCCCAUGGAGACAGGUCCAUUUGGGUUGGUCAUAGUGACAGUAAGCUUCUCUGGAAAUCGCACUUGCCCUGUAUUGGUCUUGCUUGUGUUUGUCAUUUCUGUGGUACUGUGAUUCUAUAGUGGUUGCCUGAAAAACGGUUUCUGUGUGUGUCUUUUGUGUCUCUUUGUGUUCGGACUUGGACUGAUGACUGACGACUGUUUUUAAGUUAUGCCUUCUGAAAUAAGCCUAAGAAUCCUGUCAGAUCCCUAUGCUGACCACUUCCUUUCAGAUCAACAGCUGCCCUGCCUCCCACUCCAACUCCAGAGAGCAGCCAGCGGGUCACAGUGGUCCCGUCCAUGGACCUGGAGCCUAGGGAGAAAAAUGAGCUUAAAAAUCCAGAGCAAAAGAGGGGUGGUCCCUGAGAAGUCAGUGGCCUGAAUGUUGUGGCUGCUGAAGC